rnacentral:rRNA from 1 species
GACGAACGCUGGCGGCGUGCCUAAUACAUGCAAGUAGAACGCACAGUUUAUACCGUUGCUUGCUUCACCAUAGACUGUGAGUUGCGAAUGGGUGAGUAACGCGCUGGUUACCUGCCUGGUAGCAGUUGAUAACAACGGAAAACGUUAGCUAUUACCUCAUAAUAUUGAUUAUUCCAUGAUAAUUGAUUGAAUGAUGCUAUUGCAUCACUACCUCAUGGCUCUGCGUUGUAUUAGGUAGUAGGGGAGGUAACGAGUCACCUAGGCGACGAUAGAUAGCCGACCCGGGAAGGGGAACCGCCACACCGGGACUGGGACACGGCCCAGACUCCUACGGGAGGCAGCAAUAGGGAAACUUCGGGAAUGGACGGAAGUCUUACCGGGCCACGCCGGGGGGGUGGAUGAGGGUUUCGGGUCGGAAAGCUCUGUUUUAAGGGAAGGACGGGUGUGGGAGUGGAAAGUGCACACUGUGACGGUAUCUUAUCAGAAAGGGACGGCUAACUACGUG